rnacentral:misc_RNA from 1 species
GCGCAAGCGCACGCCGACGCCAUGACAGCCGCGCGCGAUUCCAAAUUCAAAUCCGACCGACCGAUUUAAGAACAGUGAAUUUAUUAAUUAAUUUUCUUGAAUUUAUUUUAUUUGAAUUAAUUUAAAAUGGUCGAGUGCGACUCUGUUUGAUUUGUGUUUGUUUUCGCGUGAACCAUGCAUUGGAGGUGACACGAUGGGGUUCAAAUGGUCUAUGGUACAACUAGUGCUGUUCCUGGCCUGGGCGUUGCAAUACUGUACCUUUGGGAGCCCGUUGCUAUGGUACUUCUUGGCCACUUGCCUGGGCGUUGCUUGUACCCUGGCCCUCACUACGUAUGACCACGACUACUGGGCAACACGGGGGGUCUUUGCCCCCCCAGCGUGGCCCCUAGUAGGCCACAUCGCAUCCGUGGUCACCUUUAAGGAGCAAGGCGGAUUGUGCUUCAAAAGGAUCUAUGAUACGUAUAAGAAUGAAAGGUUUUUGGGCACGCACCAGUUCUACCAGCGCACCCUGGUGAUCCGCGACCCGGAGCUGAUCAAGCGAGUGUGCGUCAACGAUUUCCAAUACUUCGUGGACCGAGGGUUCUUUUUCAACAAGAAGGUGGACCCGCUGGCGGGGUCCGUGCUGUUCCUCCGGGGAAACGAGUGGAGGAAGCUUCGGGCUAAAAUAUCCCCGAUAUUCUCGCCAAACAAGCUCCGAGGAAUGUUCCCGCUCAUCGAAGACACUGCGAAGGAGUUCGUUCUCAGGGUUCGCAAGCUGAUCUCACAGAGCAAGAGCCCUGAGGAUGACAACAACAACAACCCUGAGAGAUCCGUGAUGGUGGAUUCUGAGAAAUUGGUGGGCGGUUACACAGCAGAUGCUAUAGUGCCGUGUGCUUUCGGCCUGAAAAGUAACGUUAUGGAUAACGAAAAGGAUCCGUUCGCAGUUGCUCUUCACGCCUUCUAUGAGAUGUCGUUGUUUAAUAUUUUUGAAAAGACAAUGCGUCAAUUCUGGCCAGCUUUCGUGUUGUUCUUUAGAAUGAGAAUAAUACCGAAGAGGACCCACGACUUUUUCUACAAUAUUGUCACGAGUGUGCUGCGAGCCAGAGAGAAUGGCACUCAGGAGAAGCGAGGAGACUUCAUCGACAUGAUGAUGUCACUCCGAGACGAGAAGACCGGCAAGUCAGCUGAUGACAAUGAUGUUGAAAUUACGGACGUGGUGAUCUCAGCCAAUGCCUUCAUCAUCUUCCUGGGUGGUUUCGAAACAACCUCAUCGACCCUGGCGUUCCUUCUGCUGGAGCUCGCGGCUAACCCUCACGUCCAGGAGAAGAUGAGAGCAGAGAUCCUCCAGGUCUUGGAGAAGAAUGACGGGAACGUCACUUAUGAAAUGCUGCAAGAGUUAACCUAUAUGGAGAUGGUUAUACAAGAGACGUUACGCUUGUACCCGCCCUUCCCGAGCAUUCAGCGGAUGUGUACGAAGGACUACCAGAUCCCUGGGUCGAAAGUGACCGUGGAGCGAGGCACCAUCGUCCUCUUCCCCACGCUGGGGAUACAGCGCGAUGAGCAGUACUUCGAGAGUGCGGGUCAGUUCGUGCCGGAGCGCUGGGCGGAGGGCCGGCCUGCGCCCCCGCCAGGCGUCUACAUGCCCUUCGGAGACGGGCCUCGCUACUGUAUUGGCAAGCGUUUCGCGAUGAUCCAGAUGAAGUGCUGCCUGGUGCGCGUGCUGCAGGCGGUGCGCGUGCGCAUGGCACACGACGCGCCUGCGCGCGACGAGCCGUUCCCCGCCGACCCGCGCUUCCCGCUCACCCUUCACCCCGUUGACUCCCGACUCCGCAUCAGCUUGUUAUGAUACCCUCUGUUGUGUAAUUAAUUAUAUCAUACUAACGGUUACCCGCGACUUCGGUCGCAUGAAACCCUACUAUUAAAACUAUAGAAGUUUCAUGCAAACAGACAUCCCUUUUCAUCCCCUUAGGGGCUGAAUUUCUCAAAAUCCCGUCUUACCUAAACUGAAGAUUUGAUAGGUCUGGUUUUUAACAGAAGUCGCGCCUAUCUGGCCUUCCAAUAUAUCACAUAUCUUCCAAACCUUUCUCAGAAAUGCAGGCUUCCUGACGAUGUUUUCCUUCACUGCUAAGCACGUGAUAAUCAUUUAUGAUCCGAAUAUGAAAUCCAUAACAAAUUCGAAAAUCCCGAAUGGUUUAGGCCCGUGCUGGGAUUCAAACUUGCGACUGCAAAGAGAGUCAAGGGUUCAUCAACUGGGCUACCCCGGUUUUUUCAAUUCCAUAAGAAAACAUUACAAAAUUCUACUUUUUACAUAAGACAGGUAAACCACUGUCUUCAUACUACAAGUCGUCUUCUGAUUACUUGUAGCUCUGCCUACCCUAUUACGGUUUACGAGCGUGACUUUCACCCUAAGGUUGCCUAGAAGAAAUUUCUGUUUAGCAAUAAUGCCUCCGUACCUCUUUUAUCUUUUAAUGUCUUUGUCUAAUUUGUCCAAUAAGUGUUAUUUACAAAAAAGUCAAUUAAUUGACAUUACACACAUACUGAGGAGCUCGGUGGCGCAGCGGUUAACGCGCUCGGUCUGCGAUUGUUGAAGUAAAGCAACUUUCGCAAAGGCCGGUCAUAGGAUGGGUGACCACAAAAAAAAAGUUUUCAUCUCGAGCUCCUCCGUGCUUCGGAAGGCACGUUAAGCCGUUGGUCGCGGCUGCAUUAGCAGUCGUUAAUAACCACCAAUCCGCACUGGGCCCGCGUGAUGGUUUAAGGCCCGAUCUCCCUAUCCAUCCAUAGGGAAGGCCCGUGCCCCAGCAGUGGG